AUUGAACGCUGGCGGCAGGCCUAACACAUGCAAGUCGAGCGCUCUCUUCGGAGGGAGCGGCGGACGGGUGAGUAACGCGUGGGAAUAUGCCCUUCACUGCGGAAUAGCCACUGGAAACGGUGAGUAAUACCGCAUACGCCCUUCGGGGGAAAGAUUUAUCGGUGAAGGAUUAGCCCGCGUUAGAUUAGGUAGUUGGUGGGGUAAUGGCCUACCAAGCCUACGAUCUAUAGCUGGUUUGAGAGGAUGAUCAGCCACACUGGGACUGAGACACGGCCCAGACUCCUACGGGAGGCAGCAGUAGGGAAUCUUAGACAAUGGGGGAAACCCUGAUCUAGCCAUGCCGCGUGUGUGACGAAGGCCUUAGGGUCGUAAAGCACUUUCGCCAGAGAUGAUAAUGACAGUAUCUGGUAAAGAAACCCCGGCUAACUCCGUGCCAGCAGCCGCGGUAAUACGGAGGGGGUUAGCGUUGUUCGGAAUUACUGGGCGUAAAGCGCGCGUAGGCGGAUUAGAAAGUUGGGGGUGAAAUCCCGGGGCUCAACCUCGGAACUGCCUCCAAAACUGCUAGUCUAGAGUUCGAGAGAGGUGAGUGGAAUUCCGAGUGUAGAGGUGAAAUUCGUAGAUAUUCGGAGGAACACCAGUGGCGAAGGCGGCUCACUGGCUCGAUACUGACGCUGAGGUGCGAAAGUGUGGGGAGCAAACAGGAUUAGAUACCCUGGUAGUCCACACCGUAAACGAUGAAUGCCAGUCGUCGGGUAGUAUACUAUUCGGUGACACACCUAACGGAUUAAGCAUUCCGCCUGGGGAGUACGGUCGCAAGAUUA
rnacentral:rRNA from 1 species